rnacentral:rRNA from 1 species
AUUGACUGUGUGAAAGUAGCAUAAUAAUUAGUUCAUUAAUUGUGAACUGGAAUGAAUGGAUUGAUGAGGCAUUAUCUGUCUUGGUGUCAGUGAGGUUUAAUUUUACAUUUAGGUUAGAAGGCUUAAAUUGGGAGAAGGGACGAGAAGACCCUAUAGAAUUUUAUUGCUAGUGGUGUUUGGGGCUUUAAUAGCGUAAUUGUUUCUGGAUGGUGUUAGUGAUUUUGUUGGGGUGACAGGUAGGUUUACUUAAUCUUUCUUUGUUUUUGUAUUUAUUUAUAGUUUUGUUUGAUUUAUUUUUAUAAAUGGAAGAUUAAAUUACCUUAGGGAUAACAGCGUUAUUUGUAUGGAGAGUUCUUAUCAAUAUACAAGUUUGCGACCUCGAUGUUGAAUUAACGUUAAUUUUUGUAGGAGGGUAUAUAGAAUUGGGUCUGUUCAACCUUUGAAAUGUUACA